AUUGAACGCUGGCGGCAGGCUUAACACAUGCAAGUCGAGCGGGGUGAUGGUGCUUGCACUAUCACUUAGCGGCGGACGGGUGAGUAAUGCUUAGGAAUCUGCCUAUUAGUGGGAGACAACAUCUCGAAAGGGAUGCUAAUACCGCAUACGUCCUACGGGGGAAAGCAGGGGAUCACUUGUGACCUUGCGCUAAUAGAUGAGCCUAAGUCGGAUUAGCUAGUUGGUGGGGUAAAGGCCUACCAAGGCGACGAUCUGUAGCGGGUCUGAGAGGAUGAUCCGCCACACUGGGACUGAGACACGGCCCAGACUCCUACGGGAGGCAGCAGUGGGGAAUAUUGGACAAUGGGGGGAACCCUGAUCCAGCCAUGCCGCGUGUGUGAAGAAGGCCUUAUGGUUGUAAAGCACUUUUAGCGAGGAGGAGGCUCUUUUGGUUAAUACCCAAGAUGAGUGGACGUUACUCGCAGAAUAAGCACCGGCUAACUCUGUGCCAGCCGCCGCGGUAA
rnacentral:rRNA from 1 species